UUUACAAGGUAUGUGGGUAAGACAAUAAAAACCCAUGCUUUCAUCUAUUUGUUUGCUUAAAUAUAGUUUUUGUCCUUUUUCAACCUUCUUUGUCAAUUGUGUAGGAAUUGUUUCAUUUUUCUUGGGCUUCUUCAGGUUCAGCAACAUCAGGUCUGUUUCCUGUUGGCAUGCUUCCUUUGUUUCAGAUGGGAGUCAACUCAAUUGUGAAACAUAUAUCAAACCAACAAGGCUGUGGUAGUUGAAAUAAUCGUUUUAAGGACAUUGCUGCUGAAUCUGUGAAGCAGAAGCGUCGCUCGACCAAGAAGCCCUAUUCGAGGUCCAUCUCCACCGCAACCUAGCUUUUGCCUGUGGUUUUGGAGUUCACUAAAAUCCUAUUCGAAUUUGGUUCGUGUUCGUCGGGAAUAUCUCUAUGCAUCUGGAGACUUGGCUCGAUUUCCAACGACGACGAAGGUUCAGAUGGAGUAGAUGAGUAUUGAGUUUCUGUGAAAGGUCAAGUUAUAAAUGGAGACUUGAGGUCAAUACUCAAAAGCGUACUAAGCUUGAUGAUGAGUUGCCGACCGAUAGCAGCCCUCUAAUCCAUUGGAGUUUAGAGCGAGUUCAUCGAACGCUUCAGUUCAAACCCAUAGAAAUCUAUGAAAUCCGCACCAGAACCCAAUGAUCAUGAUAUGGACACUAGGACGGAGGUGGAUUGUCUACCCUUCCAUUUCCAUACUCUUUCCAUCUCCUCCUGUUUUGUGUGAUAAGUCACGUCAACAUUUUAUAUUCGUAUUACUUUUUGUUUUAUUAUUUUUAUAAAAAAAAAUCAAUAUAAAAUGUUGACGUGGCUUAACCGUGACCACACAAACAGAAGGGGAUGUGAAUAAUAUGAAAAUGAGAGAGCAGACAAUCCACCUCCCACUAUGACACCUAUAUGUAAGUUAUUGAAAAUAUGUUAGUCAUUGUAUGUAAAUGUGGUUGUAAAUAUGUCAGCGUUUGCCUGCCAUAUUUUGGACACAGCCCUUGGCCUGCCUUUCUGCAAGCAGCUGGACUUGCCCUCAUGGAUUCACACAUUUUACUGUUUGUUUGGAUGCAUUGGAAAAUUUAGGGUGGAGAAUUAUUGAUGGUGACUUUUGACGAAACAUAAGCAAGCAAGCGUGUUACUCAUUUUACGCAAACCCAAAUUCUUUCCAAAAUUGGACUAAUACGGC